rnacentral:rRNA from 1 species
AUGAACGCUGGCGGCGUGCCUAAUACCUGCAAGUCGAGCGAACAGACGAGGAGCUUGCUCCUCUGACGUUAGCGGCGGACGGGUGAGUAACACGUGGAUAACCUACCUAUAAGACUGGGAUAACUUCGGGAAACCGGAGCUAAUACCGGAUAAUAUAUUGAACCGCAUGGUUCCAUAGUGAAAGACGGUUUUGCUGUCACUUAUAGAUGGAUCCGCGCCGCAUUAGCUAGUUGGUAAGGUAACGGCUUACCAAGGCAACGAUGCGUAGCCGACCUGAGAGGGUGAUCGGACACACUGGAACUGAGACACGGUCCAGACUCCUACGGGAGGCAGCAGUAGGGAAUCUUCCGCAAUGGGCGAAAGCCUGACGGAGCAACGACGCGUGAGUGAUGAAGGUCUUCGGAUCGUAAAACUCUGUUAUUAGGGAAGAACAAAUGUGUAAGUAACUAUGCACGUCUUGACGGUACCUAAUCAGAAAGCCACGGCUAACUACGUG